CGUUAUGCGACUAACUUCGUUCAGAUGAUGUUCAUGUACGAGACUUCAUCACUGGGCAAAGUUUGUCGCAUAAA
rnacentral:pre_miRNA from 1 species